rnacentral:Y_RNA from 1 species
GGCUGGUCUGAGUGCAGUAGCGCUCGCUACUAAUUGAUCGCAACCAGUCACAGAUUUCUUUGUUCCUUUUCCACUCCCACUGCUUCACUUGACUAGCCUAAA